rnacentral:tRNA from 1 species
CUGUAGCUCAAUGGAUAGAGCGUUGGAUGUCUAAUCCAAAGGUCGUGGGUUCGAAUCCUAUCUUCUCUGA